rnacentral:rRNA from 1 species
AUUGAACGCUGGCGGCAGGCCUAACACAUGCAAGUCGAGCGGAUGAAGGGAGCUUGCUCCUGGAUUCAGCGGCGGACGGGUGAGUAAUGCCUAGGAAACUGCCUGGUAGUGGGGGAUAACGUCCGGAAACGGGCGCUAAUACCGCAUACGUCCUGAGGGAGAAAGUGGGGGAUCUUCGGACCUCACGCUAUCAGAUGAGCCUAGGUCGGAUUAGCUAGUUGGUGGGGUAAAGGCCUACCAAGGCGACGAUCCGUAACUGGUCUGAGAGGAUGAUCAGUCACACUGGAACUGAGAAACGGUCCAGACUCCUACGGGAGGCAGCAGUGGGGAAUAUUGGACAAUGGGCGAAAGCCUGAUCCAGCCAUGCCGCGUGUGUGAAGAAGGUCUUCGGAUUGUAAAGCACUUUAAGUUGGGAGGAAGGGCAGUAAGUUAAUACCUUGCUGUUUUGACGUUACCAACAGAAUAAGCACCGGCUAACUUCGUG